rnacentral:rRNA from 1 species
UUAAGCGACUAAGCGUACACGGUGGAUGCCCUGGCAGUCAGAGGCGAUGAAGGACGUGCUAAUCUGCGAAAAGCGUCGGUAAGGUGAUAUGAACCGUUACAGCCGGCGAUGUCCGAAUGGGGAAACCCAGUGCAAUUCGUUGCACUAUCGUUAACUGAAUACAUAGGUUAACGAGGCGAACCGGGGGAACUGAAACAUCUAAGUACCCCGAGGAAAAGAAAUCAACCGAGAUUCCCCCAGUAGCGGCGAGCGAACGGGGAGCAGCCCAGAGUCUGAAUCAGCUUGUGUGUUAGUGGAACGGUCUGGAAAGUCCGACGGUACAGGGUGAUAGUCCCGUACACCAAAAUGCACAGGCUGUGAACUCGAAGAGUAGGGCGGGACACGUGGUAUCCUGUCUGAAUAUGGGGGGACCAUCCUCCAAGGCUAAAUACUCCUGACUGACCGAUAGUGAACCAGUACCGUGAGGGAAAGGCGAAAAGAACCCCGGCGAGGGGAGUGAAAAAGAACCUGAAACCGUGUACGUACAAGCAGUGGGAGCACCUUCGGGUGUGACUGCGUACCUUUUGUAUAAUGGGUCAGCGACUUAUAUUCUGUAGCAAGGUUAACCGUAUAGGGGAGCCGCAGGGAAACCGAGUCUUAACUGGGCGUUAAGUUGCAGGGUAUAGACCCGAAACCCGGUGAUCUAGCCAUGGGCAGGUUGAAGGUUGGGUAACACUAACUGGAGGACCGAACCGACUAAUGUUGAAAAAUUAGCGGAUGACUUGUGGCUGGGGGUGAAAGGCCAAUCAAACCGGGAGAUAGCUGGUUCUCCCCGAAAGCUAUUUAGGUAGCGCCUCGUGAACUCAUCUUCGGGGGUAGAGCACUGUUUCGGCUAGGGGGUCAUCCCGACUUACCAACCCGAUGCAAACUACGAAUACCGAAGAAUGUUAUCACGGGAGACACACGGCGGGUGCUAACGUCCGUCGUGAAGAGGGAAACAACCCAGACCGCCAGCUAAGGUCCCAAAGUCAUGGUUAAGUGGGAAACGAUGUGGGAAGGCACAGACAGCCAGGAUGUUGGCUUAGAAGCAGCCAUCAUUUAAAGAAAGCGUAAUAGCUCACUGGUCGAGUCGGCCUGCGCGGAAGAUGUAACGGGGCUAAACCAUGCACCGAAGCUGCGGCAGCGACACUAUGUGUUGUUGGGUAGGGGAGCGUUCUGUAAGCCUGCGAAGGUGACCUGUGAGGGUUGCUGGAGGUAUCAGAAGUGCGAAUGCUGACAUAAGUAACGAUAAAGCGGGUGAAAAGCCCGCUCGCCGGAAGACCAAGGGUUCCUGUCCAACGUUAAUCGGGGCAGGGUGAGUCGACCCCUAAGGCGAGGCCGAAAGGCGUAGUCGAUGGGAAACAGGUUAAUAUUCCUGUACUUGGUGUUACUGCGAAGGGGGGACGGAGAAGGCUAUGUUAGCCGGGCGACGGUUGUCCCGGUUUAAGCAUGUAGGCUGGUUAUCCAGGCAAAUCCGGAUAAUCAAGGCUGAGGUGUGAUGACGAGGCACUACGGUGCUGAAGUAACAAAUGCCCUGCUUCCAGGAAAAGCCUCUAAGCAUCAGGUAACAUCAAAUCGUACCCCAAACCGACACAGGUGGUCAGGUAGAGAAUACCAAGGCGCUUGAGAGAACUCGGGUGAAGGAACUAGGCAAAAUGGUGCCGUAACUUCGGGAGAAGGCACGCUGGUGUGUAGGUGAAGUCCCUGCGGAUGGAGCUGAGACCAGUCGAAGAUACCAGCUGGCUGCAACUGUUUAUUAAAAACACAGCACUGUGCAAACACGAAAGUGGACGUAUACGGUGUGACGCCUGCCCGGUGCCGGAAGGUUAAUUGAUGGGGUUAUCCGUAAGGAGAAGCUCUUGAUCGAAGCCCCGGUAAACGGCGGCCGUAACUAUAACGGUCCUAAGGUAGCGAAAUUCCUUGUCGGGUAAGUUCCGACCUGCACGAAUGGCGUAAUGAUGGCCAGGCUGUCUCCACCCGAGACUCAGUGAAAUUGAACUCGCUGUGAAGAUGCAGUGUACCCGCGGCAAGACGGAAAGACCCCGUGAACCUUUACUAUAGCUUGACACUGAACAUUGAGCCUUGAUGUGUAGGAUAGGUGGGAGGCUUUGAAGCGUGGACGCCAGUCUGCGUGGAGCCAACCUUGAAAUACCACCCUUUAAUGUUUGAUGUUCUAACGUUGGCCCCUUACCGGGGUUGCGGACAGUGUCUGGUGGGUAGUUUGACUGGGGCGGUCUCCUCCCAAAGCGUAACGGAGGAGCACGAAGGUUAGCUAAUCCUGGUCGGACAUCAGGAGGUUAGUGCAAUGGCAUAAGCUAGCUUGACUGCGAGCGUGACGGCGCGAGCAGGUGCGAAAGCAGGUCAUAGUGAUCCGGUGGUUCUGAAUGGAAGGGCCAUCGCUCAACGGAUAAAAGGUACUCCGGGGAUAACAGGCUGAUACCGCCCAAGAGUUCAUAUCGACGGCGGUGUUUGGCACCUCGAUGUCGGCUCAUCACAUCCUGGGGCUGAAGUAGGUCCCAAGGGUAUGGCUGUUCGCCAUUUAAAGUGGUACGCGAGCUGGGUUUAGAACGUCGUGAGACAGUUCGGUCCCUAUCUGCCGUGGGCGCUGGAGAAUUGAGGGGGGCUGCUCCUAGUACGAGAGGACCGGAGUGGACGCAUCACUGGUGUUCGGGUUGUCAUGCCAAUGGCACUGCCCGGUAGCUAAAUGCGGAAGAGAUAAGUGCUGAAAGCAUCUAAGCACGAAACUUGCCCCGAGAUGAGUUCUCCCUGAGACUUUAAGUCUCCUGAAGGAACGUUAAAGACGAUGACGUUGAUAGGCCGGGUGUGUAAGCGCAGCGAUGCGUUGAGCUAACCGGUACUAAUGAACCGUGAGGCUUAACCUU